rnacentral:rRNA from 1 species
AUUGAACGCUGGCGGAAUGCUUUACACAUGCAAGUCGAGCGGCAGCGCGGGGGCAACCCUGGCGGCGAGCGGCGAACGGGUGAGUAACGCAUCGGAACGUACCUUGUAGUGGGGGAUAACUAUCCGAAAGGAUAGCUAAUACCGCAUACGCCCUGAGGGGGAAAGGGGGGGAUCGCAAGACCUCUCGCUACAGGAGCGGCCGAUGUCCGAUUAACUAGUUGGUGAGGUAAAGGCUCACCAAGGCGACGAUCGGUAGCUGGUCUGAGAGGAUGAUCAGCCACACUGGGACUGAGACACGGCCCAGACUCCUACGGGAGGCAGCAGUGGGGAAUUUUGGACAAUGGGGGCAACCCUGAUCCAGCCAUUCCGCGUGAGUGAAGAAGGCCUC